UUCUAAAGCCACAUCAUCCUAAACAUAUCCAAUGUCAUCUGAUCAAAGAAGCUCAGCAAAGUUGGUUUGGUUAAUACUUAGAUUGGAUACCACCUGGGAAUACUGGGUUCUAUAGGCU
rnacentral:rRNA from 1 species